CCUACGGGAGGCAGCAGUGAGGAAUCUUGGUCAAUGGGCGCGAGCCUGAACCAGCCAAGUAGCGUGAAGGAUGACUGCCCUACGUGUUGUAAACUUCUUUUAUAAAGGAAUAAAGUGCGGCACGUGUGCCUUUUUGUCUGUCCUUUUUCCAUCCGGCUCGGCUAACUCCGUGCCAGCAGCCGCGGUACUACGGAGGAUCUGAGCGUCAUCCGGAUUUAUUGGGUUUAAAGGGAGCGUAGAUGGGUUGUUAAGUCAGGUGUGAAAGUUUGCGGCUCAACCGCAAAAUUGCAAUUGAUACUGGCAGUCUGGAGUGCAGGUGAGGUAGGCGGAAUUCGUGGUGUAGCGGUGAAAUGCUUAGAUAUCACGAAGAACUCCGAUUGCGAAGGCAGAUUACUAAACUGCCACUGACAUUGAUGCUCGAAAGUGUGGGUAUCAAACAGGAUUAGAUACCCGGGUAGUC
rnacentral:rRNA from 1 species